UCGAAAAAACGUAGCGAAAUGCGAUACUUGGUGUGAAUUGCAGAAUCCCGUGAAUCAUCGAGUCUUUGAACGCAAGUUGCGCCCGAAGCCAUUAGGCCGAGGGCACGUCUGCCUGGGCGUCACGC
rnacentral:rRNA from 1 species